rnacentral:rRNA from 1 species
AUUGAACGCUGGCGGCAUGCCUUACACAUGCAAGUCGAACGGUAACAGGUCUUCGGAUGCUGACGAGUGGCGAACGGGUGAGUAAUACAUCGGAACGUGCCUAGUAGUGGGGGAUAACUACUCGAAAGAGUGGCUAAUACCGCAUGAGAUCUACGGAUGAAAGCAGGGGAUCGCAAGACCUUGUGCUACUAGAGCGGCCGAUGGCAGAUUAGGUAGUUGGUGGGAUAAAAGCUUACCAAGCCGACGAUCUGUAGCUGGUCUGAGAGGACGAUCAGCCACGAGGGGACUGGGACACGGGCCAGACGCCUACGGGAGGCAGCAGUGGGGAAUUUUGGACAAUGGGCGCAAGCCUGAUCCAGCAAUGCCGCGUGCAGGAUGAAGGCCUUCGGGUUGUAAACUGCUUUUGUACGGAACGAAAAGCCCUGGGUUAAUACCCUGGGGUCAUGACGGUACCGUAAGAAUAAGCACCGGCUAACUACGUGCCAGCAGCCGCGGUAAAAC